rnacentral:rRNA from 1 species
UGGGGAAUAUUGCACAAUGGGGGAAACCCUGAUGCAGCGACGCCGCGUGAAGGAAGAAGUAUUUCGGUAUGUAAACUUCUAUCAGCAGGGAAGAAAAUGACGGUACCUGACUAAGAAGCCCCGGCUAACUACGUGCCAGCAGCCGCGGUAAUACGUAGGGGGCAAGCGUUAUCCGGAUUUACUGGGUGUAAAGGGAGCGUAGGCGGUGAUGCAAGUCAGAAGUGAAAGCCCGCAGCUCAACUGCGGGACUGCUUUUGAAACUGUAUGACUAGAUUGCAGGAGAGGUAAGUGGAAUUCCUAGUGUAGCGGUGAAAUGCGUAGAUAUUAGGAGGAACACCAGUGGCGAAGGCGGCUUACUGGACUGUAAAUGACGCUGAGGCUCGAAAGCGUGGGGAGCAAACAGG